UACGAAGGGUGCAAGCGUUAAUCGGAAUUACUGGGCGUAAAGCGCGUGUAGGCGGCUUUGCAAGUCGGGUGUGAAAGCCCUCAGCUCAACUGAGGAAGUGCGCCCGAAACUGCUAUGGCUUGAGUACCGGAGAGGGUGGCGGAAUUCCCCAAGUAGAGGUGAAAUUCGUAGAUAUGGGGAGGAACACCGGUGGCGAAGGCGGCCACCUGGACGGUCACUGACGCUGAGACGCGAAAGCGUGGGUAGCAAACAGG
rnacentral:rRNA from 1 species